CGAGAAGCGAGCCUGCGAAGGCAAGCGGAUCUCUUAAAGCUGUUCUCAGUUCGGACUGCAGUCCGCAACUCGACUGCACGAAGCUGGAAUCGCUAGUAAUCGCGGAUCAGCACGCCGCGGUGAAUACGUUCCCGGGCCUUGUACACACCGCCCGUCAAGCCAUGGGAGCCGGGGGUGCUUGAAGUGCGUCGCCGUGAGGCGCGCCCUAGAGCAAAACCGGUGACUGGGGCUAAGUCGUAACAAGGUACC
rnacentral:rRNA from 1 species